GACGAACGCUGGCGGCGUGCUUAACACACGCAAGUCGAACGAUGAAGCUGGAGCUUGCCCCGGUGGAUUAGUGGCGAACGGGUGAGUAACACGUGAGCAAUCUGCCCUUCACUCUGGGAUAACUGCGGGAAACUGUAGCUAAUACCGGAUACGAGACCUUGGGGCAUCCCAGGGUCUGGAAAGAAUUUCGGUGAAGGAUGAGCUCGCGGCCUAUCAGCUAGUUGGUGAGGUAAUGGCUCACCAAGGCGACGACGGGUAGCCGGCCUGAGAGGGUGACCGGCCACACUGGGACUGAGACACGGCCCAGACUCCUACGGGAGGCAGCAGUGGGGAAUAUUGCACAAUGGGCGAAAGCCUGAUGCAGCAACGCCGCGUGAGGGAUGAAGGCCUUCGGGUUGUAAACCUCUUUUAGUAAGGAAGAAGCGCAAGUGACGGUACCUACAGAAAAAGCACCGGCUAACUACGUGCCAGCCGCCGCGGUAA
rnacentral:rRNA from 1 species